UGAGGAAUAUUGGUCAAUGGGCGAGAGCCUGAACCAGCCAUCCCGCGUGAAGGAAGAAGGCGCUAUGCGUUGUAAACUUCUUUUUCAGGGGGAUAAAAUAUUGUAUGUAUACGAUACUGAAGGUACCCUGAGAAUAAUCAUCUGCUAACUCCGUGCCAGCAGCCGCGGUAAUACGGAGGAUGCGAGCGUUAUCCGGAUUUAUUGGGUUUAAAGGGUGCGUAGGCGGAAUAAUAAGUCAGUGGUGAAAACCUGCAGCUUAACUGUAGACUUGCAAUUGUUACUGUUUUUCUUGAGUAUGGUAAAGGCAGGCGGAAUGUGUAAUGUAGCGGUGAAAUGCUUAGAUAUUACAAAGAAAACCGAUAGCGAAGGCAGCUUGCUGGGCCGUUACUGACGCUGAUGAACGAAAGCGUGGGGAUCGAACAG
rnacentral:rRNA from 1 species